AGCUGGAUCCUGCAGGCUCACUGACUAUGACAGGACUGAGGAGAGGCUGGGAACACUCCUUCUCUGGCCUUUGGGCCACUCAGGAGGCCUUUGUGACACCUGUCCUUGCCCCGUGGGAAGCCCCUGCUGAUGUCCACACACCGGAGGGACGGCUGCACUGGCACCACAGUCUGCCUUUGGGCAUCGGCAGUGAGAAUGAGAAGAAUUUUACAAACCCCAGAACCCAAGAUACUUCAGGGGUAGGUCAGGGUCAAGAGUAUAAAACUAAGCAAGGCACAGAACCUUUCUUGGCUUGAAGAAGGAUCAUUUUGUGUUUGGGAUCAGAUUAUUUGACCAGCUCUUAGGAAUCAGGAAACCUAGUCUGACCCAACCGAACCUCCACUGAACCAGCCCCUCCCGCAGAGGUGUGGGGAUUUGGGGCUGAUAAGCUCCAUGCUGUGUCACGGCCCGUCUCUUAUCGAGGUUACAGCUUUGCCAACGUGGCUGUUUCUGUUUUCAUCUUCCCACUGGGUUUUAGUAAAGUUAAUGGUGAGGGUCUUUCCUCCUGACUCACCCCAGCUGAGCCAUUCCAGAUCUGGUUUUCACAUGGGACACAAGCUGUGACUGAGGAGCUGACCUGACCCGGAGCAGAGGACACGUUCAAUCAGAUUAUAUGAACUCUCGGGAAGCCAAUCGUGUCUGCAGACUCACCUGGAAAUGUCACUGAAAGCAAUGUGGUGAUUCAUGGUACCGUAUUACUGAAGGGUAUGACAAACUGACAAGAUUCAUCAAACCAUGCAAAAAAAGACAGAAGAUGAUAAAAUAUUGCUUUUAGAAGUUA